rnacentral:rRNA from 1 species
AACGAACGCUGGCGGCAUGCCUAACACAUGCAAGUCGAACGAGACCUUCGGGUCUAGUGGCGCACGGGUGCGUAACGCGUGGGAACCUGCCCUUAGGUUCGGAAUAACUCCCCGAAAGGGGUGCUAAUACCGGGUAAUGUCUUCGGACCAAAGAUUUAUCGCCCUUGGAUGGGCCCGCGUUGGCUUAGCUUGUUGGUAGGGUAAAAGCCUACCAAGGCGACGAUCCAUAGCUGGUCUGAGAGGCUGAUCCGCCACACUGGGACUGAGCCACGGCCCGGACUCCUACGGGAGGCAGCAGUGGGGGAUCUUGGACAAUGGGCGAAAGCAUGAUCCAGCACUGCCGCGUGAGUGAUGAAGGCCUUAGGGUUGUAAAGCUCUUUUACCCGGGAUGAUAAUGACAGUACCGGGAGAAUAAGCUCCGGCUAACUCCGUG